UUUUAAAACACUCUCAAUCAGAAACCAGUGAGUAUCAUGUAGAACUCUUUCAUACCCGGAUGUUAUCUUCUUCACUACAUUCCAGUGCAUAUAGAAUCAACAAUGCAUCCAUUUUGGAUCUGUAAGCUUAUGAGUUUAUAUUUCAUAAAUAUCAAGACUUGACUGAGGCGGAACAGGAUGCAUUGGUUGGAAUUGGCGUGUCCCACUGUGGCCCCACCACACAACCAGAUGGGCCAACGGUUUUUAUUGGAUGCUGGUGGAUCCCUCGGUAAGAGAUGGG
ensembl:lncRNA